CAAAAAUAAGAGUUCAAGGGGAAUAAAAAGAAAGAUUCAGUGUAAGUUAUGAAUAUAAGCAUGUAAAGUAAGAAUAGGAAUUAAAACAGUUUUACAUUUCAGGUUAUGUAACUAUUUACUCAGAAAAUGUUUUUUUAAAAUUACCCAUUUUCCAGUAGAAAACACUGGUAUAUGACAUCCCUCAACAGUCCACCCCUGCUUCCAGUUUCCUUUAUGAAAUAGAACUUACUGUGAUGAAAAGUGAUGAUUAACAUAAGUGGUUACAACUAUACUAGGAAUAAUAGUGACAGAGAAAUACAAACUGUAAUUGCUUUUGUUUUUCAAGGAAAAAGAGUCAUUUUUCAGUGAUUUUCAAGCAUUUUGGUUUGUGUCACCUUUAAAUUCAUAAAACAUUAUUGACAAUCCUAGCGUUUUUCUUGUAUGUGUGUUGAUAUUUACCAUAUUAAAAAUUAAGACCAAGAUUUCAAAAUGACCCAUUUUAUGGGGUGGGGAGGUCCCCACAUCUUGGAUUCCAAUUCCUACCUCUGCAGAGAACUGCAGAGUGGCUGAGUGCAUGGCACAUUCAGCUUGCAAAUGGCUUGCCUAACCCAUCGGGUGCGCCUCGGCCUCCAGUUCAUCUCCCUUUCCGGUCGUUUGACUUGUUUGUUGAACAGGGUAUUUUUAUACUGAAUUCUCCCUCGGACUCUGUAGGGAAAAUCAAUCAUGGAUUGUGUGGCCGUGGAACAUACACGGCCCGUGGAUGAGCUGGCUCAUGGCUCGUCACAGAGUCAGCUGUCUACACGGCGUGAUUGAAGCUUUACGUGGGAGUGCACUCGGACCCCAGGUAUUUCCUCCUUUUGUGUGUCAUGGCACCCAGCUCCUCUCCAGCCUGCUGUUUCCUGUGCUGACUUACCAAGUCUGAAUCUCAGGCUGGGUUCCCUCAAUGAGGUGUGCUCCUCUGUGACCUCCCCACUCCCUAUAGCCGCUCCACCUUCCUCUCUCAAAUUCAAGGGCUGCCCAAGCUGCAAGCUCAUUGAGCAGUUCCAGAAAAGCUUAAAUGGGAAGAACAAUGACAGGGAGGCAAAACACCUGCUUGCAACUCAAACAUGUGUUUCCUUUAGAGCAUCUGAAUACAUGGAGCUCUGGUCACUGCCUGGGCCUGGAGACGGGGCAGGGAAUCAGACGGGGAAUACAGUAACAAACUCGAGUCACUGUGCAUUUGAAGCAAGGCGUUGAUUCAACACGCCAAGAUGACGGGUGGUCCCCAGAUCCUGGAUCCAGAGGCACUAACCACGCCUACUAUACAGUGAGAUACAAAGAAGUGUCCUGCAUGCUCCCUUGGCCAUCGGGGCCAGACCAAGUGUUUGGAUUUUGUGCUGCUGAUUCUGAAACUCCACCUCCAAUCCUCGAGAAGUCUCCCUGCAGGUCUACUGUUUGGCUAUGAUCGAUGGUCCCCAGGUGUGGUGUUAUUUCAUUUCCAGUUUAUCACGUUAAUAUUUUACACAUUAUGGGGAAUCCUGGAAUGAGUGCUGUUCUACGCACACAGGAAAGCCACAGUUAAUCUGUAGAAGGUGUUCCAGCAGCUUAUGGAGCUUUGGUUUCUAAAAGACUAAAGUGCUCAGUGGACUGCAGAUACCUGAAACAAUGAGGAUUUUUUUUCUUGUGUUUUGAUUUUUGCUUUCAGGUGGGAACCCAUUUUUCAAAAGGACUAAUUUGAGUUGUGGUUGGAUGCAAACCUUGGCUGGAAUCUCCCCCACUGAUCCUGUCGUUCUCUUGUGAUUGCUAACAGUUCCACGCGGCACAAAUAAGCCAAGGAUAUUGCAGGCGCGAUCUGAAAGCCGGAGCAACAUGGGAAGAGCAAAAAGAGUUUCGUCUGGAAUGGGUGCCGGUGCUUUUCCACUGCAAAAGCAACCCAGGCAAUUUGCUUUAGAGGUUGGAGCCAAGGUCUGAGGAAUUGAGACAAGAAAACAUCCCAGGGUAGUGUGGAAGUGCAGCCUUCUCUAUUCCCAGCCUGUUGCAGACAGCCGUGCCAUCUCCUACACCCACAGGUGAUUUUUUGUUUUGUUUUUGUUUUUUGUUUUCUGUUUUUGAGACAGAUUCUAGCUCUGUCACCCAGGCUGGAGUGCAGGGGCGCCGUCUCUGCUCACUGCAACCUCCUCCUCCUGGGUUCAAGUGAUUCUUCUGCUUCAGCCUCCCGAGUAGCUGGGAUUACAGGUGUGCACCACCAUGCCUGGCUAAUUUUUGUAUUUUUAGUAGAGACGGGGUUUCACCAAGUUGGCCAGGCUGGUCUGGAACUCCUGACCUCAGGUGAUCCGCCCACCUCAGCCUCCCAAAGUGCUGGGAUUCCAGGCGUGAGCCACCUUGCCUGGGCAGAGGUGUGUUCAUUGUUGUUGUUGCUUCUAUCAGGUGGCGAACGCCAGGCAUUACCAUGACUUGGGCAGUACACCUCACUCUGAGCGACAGUGCCCUGGAAAGAACAUGAGCCUCUAGAGUCCAUUGAACUCAGCUUUGAGUUCCAGGUUCUGUCACUUAUUAGUGGACAAGUCAUUAGGCUUCCCUAAGUCUUCCAUUUCUGAUUCUUAAAAUGAGGAUAAAAGGACCCACCUCGCAGGGUUGCUGGAAGGGUUGUGUUAAGGGUGCCAGGCAUAUACUAGGUUUCCAAACAAUGAGCUAGUCCUAUGUCCAGACUCUUAAACUAUGAUGGGUUAAAAAUAGUAAAUCAUAUUUUUUUUCAUUAAAAACAAUUUUUUU